rnacentral:rRNA from 1 species
GGGGGACCAUCCUCCAAGGCUAAAUACUACUGACUGACCGAUAGUGAACCAGUACCGUGAGGGAAAGGCGAAAAGAACCCCGGAGAGGGGAGUGAAAUAGAACCUGAAACCGUAUGCGUACAAGCAGUGGGAGCCUACUUGUUAGGUGACUGCGUACCUUUUGUAUAAUGGGUCAGCGACUUAUAUUCAGUGGCAAGCUUAACCGUAUAGGGUAGGCGUAGCGAAAGCGAGUCUUAAUAGGGCGUUUAGUCGCUGGGUAUAGACCCGAAACCGGGCGAUCUAUCCAUGAGCAGGUUGAAGGUUAGGUAACACUGACUGGAGGACCGAACCCACUCCCGUUGAAAAGGUAGGGGAUGACUUGUGGAUCGGAGUGAAAGGCUAAUCAAGCUCGGAGAUAGCUGGUUCUCCUCGAAAGCUAUUUAGGUAGCGCCUCAUGUAUCACUCUGGGGGGUAGAGCACUGUUUCGGCUAGGGGGUCAUCCCGACUUACCAAACCGAUGCAAACUCCGAAUACCCAGAAGUGCCGAGCAUGGGAGACACACGGCGGGUGCUAACGUCCGUCGUGAAAAGGGAAACAACCCAGACCGCCAGCUAAGGUCCCAAAGUUGUGGUUAAGUGGUAAACGAUGUGGGAAGGCUUAGACAGCUAGGAGGUUGGCUUAGAAGCAGCCAUCCUUUAAAGAAAGCGUAAUAGCUCACUAGUCGAGUCGGCCUGCGCGGAAGAUGUAACGGGGCUCAAACCACACACCGAAGCUGCGGGUGUCACGUAAGUGACGCGGUAGAGGAGCGUUCUGUAAGCCUGUGAAGGUGAGUUGAGAAGCUUGCUGGAGGUAUCAGAAGUGCGAAUGCUGACAUGAGUAACGACAAUGGGUGUGAAAAACACCCACGCCGAAAGACCAAGGGUUCCUGCGCAACGUUAAUCGACGCAGGGUUAGUCGGUUCCUAAGGCGAGGCUGAAAAGCGUAGUCGAUGGGAAACAGGUUAAUAUUCCUGUACUUCUGGUUACUGCGAUGGAGGGACGGAGAAGGCUAGGCCAGCUUGGCGUUGGUUGUCCAAGUUUAAGGUGGUAGGCUGAAAUCUUAGGUAAAUCCGGGGUUUCAAGGCCGAGAGCUGAUGACGAGUCGUCUUUUAGAUGACGAAGUGGUUGAUGCCAUGCUUCCAAGAAAAGCUUCUAAGCUUCAGGUAACCAGGAACCGUACCCCAAACCGACACAGGUGGUCGGGUAGAGAAUACCAAGGCGCUUGAGAGAACUCGGGUGAAGGAACUAGGCAAAAUGGCACCGUAACUUCGGGAGAAGGUGCGCCGGCUAGGGUGAAGGAUUUACUCCGUAAGCUCUGGCUGGUCGAAGAUACCAGGCCGCUGCGACUGUUUAUUAAAAACACAGCACUCUGCAAACACGAAAGUGGACGUAUAGGGUGUGACGCCUGCCCGGUGCCGGAAGGUUAAUUGAUGGGGUUAGCGCAAGCGAAGCUCUUGAUCGAAGCCCCGGUAAACGGCGGCCGUAACUAUAACGGUCCUAAGGUAGCGAAAUUCCUUGUCGGGUAAGUUCCGACCUGCACGAAUGGCGUAACGAUGGCGGCGCUGUCUCCACCCGAGACUCAGUGAAAUUGAAAUCGCUGUGAAGAUGCAGUGUAUCCGCGGCUAGACGGAAAGACCCCGUGAACCUUUACUGUAGCUUUGCACUGGACUUUGAGCCUGCUUGUGUAGGAUAGGUGGGAGGCUUUGAAGCGUGGACGCCAGUUCGCGUGGAGCCAUCCUUGAAAUACCACCCUGGCAUGCUUGAGGUUCUAACUCUGGUCCGUGAUCCGGAUCGAGGACAGUGUAUGGUGGGCAGUUUGACUGGGGCGGUCUCCUCCUAAAGAGUAACGGAGGAGUACGAAGGUGCGCUCAGACCGGUCGGAAAUCGGUCGCAGAGUAUAAAGGCAAAAGCGCGCUUGACUGCGAGACAGACACGUCGAGCAGGUACGAAAGUAGGUCUUAGUGAUCCGGUGGUUCUGUAUGGAAGGGCCAUCGCUCAACGGAUAAAAGGUACUCCGGGGAUAACAGGCUGAUACCGCCCAAGAGUUCAUAUCGACGGCGGUGUUUGGCACCUCGAUGUCGGCUCAUCACAUCCUGGGGCUGAAGCCGGUCCCAAGGGUAUGGCUGUUCGCCAUUUAAAGUGGUACGCGAGCUGGGUUUAGAACGUCGUGAGACAGUUCGGUCUCUAUCUGCCGUGGACGUUUGAGAUUUGAGAGGGGCUGCUCCUAGUACGAGAGGACCGGAGUGGACGAACCUCUGGUGUUCCGGUUGUCACGCCAGUGGCAUUGCCGGGUAGCUAUGUUCGGAAAAGAUAACCGCUGAAAGCAUCUAAGCGGGAAACUUGCCUCAAGAUGAGAUCUCACUGGGAACUUGAUUCCCCUGAAGGGCCGUCGAAGACUACGACGUUGAUAGGCUGGGUGUGUAAGCGUUGUGAGGCGUUGAGCUAACCAGUACUAAUUGCCCGUGAGGCUUGACCAU